CAAUAUCUGAUCAGAUUUAAACUGCCUAGGUGGUGCUAGUGGUAAAAGAACUCACUGACCAAUGCCAGGAGACGUAAGAGGCUAGGGUUAAAUCCCUGGGUUAGGAAGAUCCAUUGAAGGAGGAAAUCGCAAGCCACUCUAAUAUUCUUGCCUGGAGAAUCCCCAUGGACAGUGGAGCCUGGUGGGCUACAGUCCACUUGGUUGCAAAGAGUCAGGCAUGACUGAGGUGGCUUAGCAUGCAAACAACUAGAUAUUUUAGUUUAGAUAUUUACAACCCCACCCAGCAUCCACCAGCUACUGAUAAGACAGAGUCAUGUGGGUAUAAAACCAUAAGCUGCUAUGGCCCCUCAGCCACAGAUACCCUGCCAAGCUACUGAGCAAUGUCAGCAUGACAUGUAAGGUUCCUUUCACCUUCUUUUCUACAAGGAGGUUCCUUUCCCUCCUCCCCUUCUGAAGGUGGUCCCUGUGCCUUUUUGUCUUAUACUGAGAAAUCUGGGACUGUGAGAGCUUCUCCUCUUGUGGAAUCAUGUCUGGGUGCAGCCUGAUUAAACCGUGGUGUGUCAUCACCUCUUGUGGUUAUAACUUUUCUUUAAUCAGCCCCAGAAUCCCUUCAGCCUUCUACCAGGGGUUGCAUUGCUUUGAGUGUUCAUUCUAGCUGUAAAUUUCGGAAUGGCCACAUCCAUUCAGUUUCCUUGUUUCUGUCCUUUCUUUUCACUUUGCGUGUGUGUGCUAAGUCGCUUCGGUCAUGUCCAACUCUAUGUGGCCCUAUGGACUGUAGCCCCUGAAGCUAUGUCUGUCAGUGGGAUUCUCCAGCCAAGAAUACUGGGGUAUGUUACCAUGCCCUCCUCCAGGGGAUCUUCCCAACCGUGCCUCUUAUGUGUCCUGCAUUGGCAUGCAGCUUCUUUACCAGUGAGUCACCUAGGAAGCCCUUCUUUUGAGUUUGAGAUCCUAUAAAUAAUCCACUACUUUGGCCACCUGAUGCAAAGAACUGACUCAUUUGAAAAGACCCUAAUGCUGGGAAAGAUUGAAGGUGGGAAGAGAAGGGGACCACAGAAGAUGAGAUGGUUGGGUGGCAUCACCAACUCAAUGGACAUGAGUUUGAACAAGCUCUGGGAGUUGGUGAUGGACAGGGAGGGCUGGAGUGCUGCAGUCCAUGGGGUAACAAAGAGUUGGACAUGACCGAGCAACUGAACUGAAAUAAUCCACUGAAGACCUGUUGAUGGGGUUGAUGUGUGGAACCCUGGGUUCAUUCUAUAUUCUAGCAUUUUAGGUAGCUUGUAUCUUGAGAAUGUGAAGUAGGAAAUGGCAACCCCCUCCAGUAUCCUUGCCUUGAGAAUCCUGUGGACAGAGGAGCCUGGAAGACUACCAUCCGUGGGGUCACAGAGACUUGGACACAGCUGAUACCGAAUGCACAUUUCACAAUGAUUAGUCUUACUCUCCUGCUAUGGUGUGAAGGGUCUUUCUCAGGUCCACACUGUGAGGAUGUGCCAGCAUCACGGGAGGCUGAGCCCGGGGGUGUGUAAGGGCCCCUCCAGACUGUGCUCGUGGAGUCUCUCCCUCUCACACCAGUCCACACUGGUUCUAGAAAUUCAUCAGAACAACCCCCAAAGUGUCCCUUCCACUCAUCUCACACAGCUUCUCUCCAGGGGCAGUGAACCUCAACUUUAAGGUUUAUUUGUCAUGGAAAGGGUAUGAAGAUGGAAGAAUAGAAAAAUAAUGAAAAUUGCAAAAAGAGAUCAUAUUGUACAUUAAAGUAAUUUAAUUCUGCUGUCACUUUCAGAAACUAUGUGAUUAACUGGAGGCAUAUAGGAAAGUUGUACAGUAUUGUUUGAUGAGUACAUGGUGAUAGAGACGCUUCAGAGCUUAGUUUGAGAAGUUAGGAAAGACUGUCCUGCAAGGAUGAUCCUACAAAACAGUCUGCAGUUACCAUGGAAAGACAGGAAAAUUGUUUACAGAUAGAGAUUGCAAAAUAUAUCUAUGGUCAAAGACUUGAGGGAUAUAAUAUAAGCUUUCCUGGUGGCUCAGAGGGUAAAGCGUCUGCCUGCAAUGCAGGAGACCUGGGUUCGAUCCCUGGGUCAGGAAGAUCCCCUGGAGAAGGAAAUGGCAACCCACUCCAGUACUCUUGCCUGGAAAAUCCCACGGACAGAGGAGCCUGGUGGACUACAGUCCAUGGGAUCGCAAAGAGUCGGACAUGACUGAGCGACUUCACUUUCACUUUCACUUUCAA
ensembl:lncRNA